GACGAACGCUGGCGGCGUGCUUUACACAUGCAAGUCGAACGGUGAAGGUGGAGCUUGCUCCGCCGGAUCAGUGGCGAACGGGUGAGUAACACGUGGGCAACCUGCCCCUAACUUUGGGAUAACUACUCGAAAGAGUAGCUAAUACCGGAUAUGAAGUCUGUAGGCAUCUACGGAUUUGGAAAGUUUUUCGGUUAGGGAUGGGCCCGCGGCCUAUCAGCUUGUUGGUGAGGUAGUGGCUCACCAAGGCGACGACGGGUAGCCGGCCUGAGAGGGCGACCGGCCACACUGGGACUGAGACACGGCCCAGACUCCUACGGGAGGCAGCAGUGGGGAAUAUUGCACAAUGGGCGCAAGCCUGAUGCAGCGACGCCGCGUGAGGGAUGACGGCCUUCGGGUUGUAAACCUCUUUCAGCACCGACGAAGCGCAAGUGACGGUAGGUGCAGAAGAAGGACCGGCCAACUACGUGCCAGCAGCCGCGGUAA
rnacentral:rRNA from 1 species